rnacentral:rRNA from 1 species
GAUGAACGCUGGCGGCGUGCCUAAUACAUGCAAGUCGAGCGAACAGAUGAGGAGCUUGCUCCUCUGACGUUAGCGGCGGACGGGUGAGUAACACGUGGAUAACCUACCUAUAAGACUGGGAUAACUUCGGGAAACCGGAGCUAAUACCGGAUAAUAUAUUGAACCGCAUGGUUCAAUAGUGAAAGACGGUUUGCUGUCACUUAUAGAUGGAUCCGCGCCGCAUUAGCUAGUUGGUAAGGUAACGGCUUACCAAGGCAACGAUGCGUAGCCGACCUGAGAGGGUGAUCGGCCACAUGGGAACUGAACCACGGUCCAGACGCCUAAGGGAGGCAGCAGUAGGGAAUCUUCCGCAAUGGGCGAAGGCCUGACGGAGCAACGCCGCGUGAGUGAUGAAGGUCUUCGGAUCGUAAAACUCUGUUAUUAGGGAAGAACAAAUGUGUAAGUAACUAUGCACGUCUUGACGGUACCUAAUCAGAAAGCCACGGCUAACUACGUG